rnacentral:rRNA from 1 species
AGCCGCCGCGGUAACACCGGCGGCCCGAGUGGUGAUCGUGAUUAUUGGGUCUAAAGGGUCCGUAGCCGGUUUGGUCAGUCCUCCGGGAAAUCUGAUAGCUCAACUAUUAGGCUUUCGGGGGAUACUGCCAGACUUGGAACCGGGAGAGGUAAGAGGUACUACAGGGGUAGGAGUGAAAUCUUGUAAUCCCUGUGGGACCACCUGUGGCGAAGGCGUCUUACCAGAACGGGUUCGACGGUGAGGGACGAAAGCUGGGGGCACGAACCGGAUUAGAUACCCGGGUAGUCCCAGCCGUAAACGAUGCUCGCUAGGUGUCAGGCAUGGCGCGACCGUGUCUGGUGCCGCAGGGAAGCCGUGAAGCGAGCCACCUGGGAAGUACGGCCGCAAGGCUGAAACUUAAAGGAAUUGGCGGGGAGCACAACAACGGGUGGAGCCCUGCGGUUUAAUUGGACUCAACGCCGGACAACUCACCGGGGGCGACAGCAAUAUGUAGGCCAAGCUGAAGACUUUGCCUGAAUCGCUGAGGAGUGGUGCAUGG